CCAUGACGACCACUUAAUCCUAUUUAAUUGUAAAUUAAUUAAUUGUAAAUACGUAAUUUUUUAUGUUGCAUUUAGAUGCCGUGGAAAAAAACAGUGUCUUUGCAGAAGUUUGAAAAUUGGUUCUUUUUUUAUAUUUUUGUGCGAAACAUUUGAUGUUUGUUGCAUUUGUUUGCACACUACACACAAAGGCAUGCACAAACUCCUGAAUGCUGGGGUGUCCACACUUUUUGAUAAGAGGGUCAGAUUUGUGCUUUCUUUGAAAUCUUAUAACAACAUUAAUGCUAAUUCAUUAUUUAUAAAAACAGUUUUUUGCAAUGGGAUCUUUUUCAGUUUUUCCAAAUAGAACAGGUUAAUUUAUCAAUUCAUUUUCACCCAAAUUAGUGUGAAUUUCUGAUUUCAGUACUACAUAUUUUUCACCAUGAAAUGCUCGCUGCAAACUUAAAUGAAGUGAACAGGAAAAUAACAGAAAUCAUCUUACUCCGAACUACAAACUACUGUGGUUUAAUUUACAGAAACAAGCCUGUUCCUCUGGUUGGGCCCUAAAGGCUCUGAAGGAGCCUGCAGGCUGAUGGAAAUUGGAACAUGGGCUGCAUUUGGUCCACGGGCCGGGCUUUGGACAUGCCUGCUCUAAUGAAAAUAAGAAGACAUUCUGAAAUGUUACAAGUGAAAAGAAAA